AAGACUACAUUUAUUAGCAAGCAAACCGAUUCAAAAAUCAUUACAAUUAUUAUAUCUCAUGGAAAAACCCCAUGCAUUUUUACGCAAUAGUUCUAUAACACCAAAUUUAAUUAUACUGUUCCAUGAAGGCCCAACGUUGAUAUUAAUUAAUUGUCCAUUAAGCUUCUGUUUCUGUGUUAAUUGUGGCAGCAAGGUUUGUUGGUUCGCAGAGUACAAUAUUUCGUUGAAGGGCAAUCCCAGUAUCCUUGUGGGCAAGGAUCCUUGUAGUAAUAACAUGUGCAAUCAGGCCAAUCGCAGAACGUUUUACC